AGCGCAGGCGGGAAACUAAGCGGAUCUUAAAAGUGCGGGGCUCAACCCCGUGAUGGGGUCCGAACUAGUUUUCUUGAGUGCAGGAGAGGAAAGCGGAAUUCCCAGUGUAGCGGUGAAAUGCGUAGAUAUUGGGAAGAACACCAGUGGCGAAGGCGGCUUUCUGGACUGUAACUGACGCUGAGGCUCGAAAGCUAGGGUAGCGAAC
rnacentral:rRNA from 1 species